AAUGAGCAAGGAAUUUUGGCUCCGGUCGAGGCAAAGCUUAGGCCCAAGAAUAUGGGAAUGGGCUUCAACGACUAUAAGGAGAAUAGUACACCAACUCUUCAAGAAUCAGAGGGAAAGCCUGUUGCUCGUCCUGCUCAACCUGUGGAAGGCCACUAGUGCACCAACUCUUCAAGAAUCAGAGGGAAAGCCUGUUGCUCGUCCUGCUCAACCUGUGGAAGGCCACUCAAAAGACAAGCUUUGGUCAAAGCAAGCUAAAAAACUAAAGAAGGUUUACAUUACAGCUGAAGAGUUGUUAGCCAAAAAGCAGGAGCAGGGCCUGGAAGUUGUUCAGAAGGUCUUUGAUAUGAG
rnacentral:lncRNA from 1 species